CGGUGAAACACCGCUUCCGGUAUAAUCACCGAAGUUAAGCAACGUCGAUUCUGGUCAGUACUUAGAUGGGAAACCGUUUGGUAAUACCAGGUGCUGUAAG